ensembl:lncRNA
CGAAGUUGGCUUCAGUCUGUUGCCAACCCCCACCAUUGCGUGUUUUAGGUCUUAAAACAUCAUUCAAGGUGGUAUUAAAAAGUCUUGAAUUUGACUUGCUGAAACUUGCAGAUACCCUGUCAUAGAAUUAGAACAAUAAUUAGAAAAUAUAGCUGCAAGCAGCAGUGUGGGGAUCAGGCAUAAUGGGAAUUGAUGAACUAAUUUUGCUGGACGGACGUAAUCGGCUAGGUGGCUACAUGACGACCGUCUCGGUAAUCGGUAAUACUGACAGCCGGUGGGAUGAGCAUUAUGCGAGUACGCGUCAAUGUUUACCAAAUGGGAAAAGGACCCCACCUAGAGGUAAGGGCGCAAUACAGUCUGCCUGACAGAACAAAUGUCACAAAUACAUAGGGGUAUUCGGAACAAUAUCCUUAAAAGAGACACAAUGUAAACAAGCAUCCGUUCUGGAGGUGGUUCGUGAAGCAUCUAAUCCAGUGGGAAUUGCAGUUAAUAUUGUAUGUGGACGGAAUGGUAAAUAUAGUCAUUGUUGCAUUGUACAUUAAGUACCGCUUGUCGCCACACGGGUGCAGUGUCUACCCAUUAAUGAGCGCUGUUCAGUGCAACCAACAUUGAAAUAAAUGAAGUAGUGUUCUGUUUGUAUGCUGCAUGUCGGAUUUACAUGAUGAUUGCAUAUGAUUGAUAUGUUAUCAGUUUUAUGUAACACGGUAUAAGAUAUGACCAUGAAAAAAUACAUAUGAUUAGAUUUGACUGACAAUGAAAGUUAUUGGCAAAUGGGUAUCACAAUGAAAAUACAUUGAAGUUGCUUUCUAAGGGCUGGAAUAGACUGCUAACAACGCACCCCUAAAAGUCAAAUCACACCAAAUUAUUUGGGCAUCAUCAGGAUAGGGUCAUAAGACUAUGAGCCAAGUUUGGUUUGGAUGCAUGAAGGCCUUGCAGAGAUAUUAGCUCACUUCCUGUUUGGCGUGCCCCUGAGGUCAAAGGUCACCAAAUUGUUUUGAUGUCCCCAGAAUGAUGUCAUGAGUCUAUGUAGGGCUGCACGAUAUGGGCAAAAGAUGAUAUCCCGAUAUUUUUUGGCUGAAUGGCGAUAUACGAUAUAUAUCUCGAUAUUUUCUAUAGAGUGGGUUAGAUGUUUUUUUUUUAAGUCAAAAUCCACAUGUGAGACGUUGGAAGCACUUUUAUUAAAACACAGGUCAGUAUGACUGCAACAUAUAUCAUCAUGUGAUUUUGUAUAGUCAUUUUCACCAGAAUGGAACAUGGAACUCUGGCUGCCGCUGGCACAUGGGCACGGGGCGUUCGUGCCCACUGCACCGUCAGUCAACGGACGUGGGAAGGCGUUGCUGACUGAUGGGGGAGUAGUCUUUGCAGAGGCAUCCGUCAGCCAAUCAAAUCGCUUCGCCGGGUUCUUCCUGCUACUUCCUGCUUGUUGCGAUGCAAGAUGACCCGCUUUCCUGCUUUCCAGUAUCGUCAGAGCCCGAGUCGCGUCACAGUGCUUACAUUUGCAUACGCGAUCUGAUUGGAUGACGGAACCGUCGCUGCCGAAAAAGUUGAAAAUUUUUCAACUUUCUGACGGUGGCGAACGCUCCAACUGAACGGACGGAUCCACAAUGCAUUGAGCGUCCGUCCCCAUUCAAAGUCAAUGGGGAUCAGUCAACGGACGGAGGUAGUGGGCACGGGGCGGUCAUGCCCACUGCACCGUCAGUCAAAGGACGUAGAAGGCGUGGCUGGCGGAGGGGGGAGGUUUCCAGGGUCGUCAGAGCCCGAGUCGCGUCACAGUGCUUAAAUUUGCAUGCGGGAUCUGAUUGGAUGACGGAUCCGUUGCUGCUGAAAAAGUUGAACAUUUUUCAACUUUUUGACGGAACGGUGCGCACGGAUCCACCAUGUAUUAUGCGUCCGUCCCCAUUCAAAGUCAAUGGGGAUCAGUCAAUGGACGGAGGCAGUGGGCACGAGGCGUCAGGGCUUGUUCACACUACCUGCGUCUGUCGGCGGAUCUCAUGCACCAAUGCACUGCCCCCUAGUGGUUCCAGAUGCAAUAGCAGGGUAAUAAAACAUGGCUUUGAUAAACGGUCUCAGGUAUUUAUUUUUGUCAUUCAUCAGACCCGCUCACCCAAAUGCUACUUACAGUAUUACAUAAAUUUGAUUCAAGAAGCAGGUAGGGGUUAAACUGUGAACAGAUACAUGUGAUUUAAAGAGCAGUUGGGGGUAAAACUGUCACGCCGGGUCCUGCUACGCGGUCCACUACCUCCAUCUAGUGGCCACUUGACGCCAGUGGUCCUCCUCACACACCAGGCUGCAAUCAUCAAAUCACCAUUCCCUACUUCAGCCGGAGAUCUCCUACCAGCCGGCGCCAGUUCGUCGUUACGUCUACACAUACUUCCCCUGCCAUCGAACCCCUGCCUGCCUAACUACCCGUCUGUCGCCAAGCCCCUGACUGCCUGCUCGUUACCGGGCCCCUGCCUGCCUGACUACCCAUCUGUCGCCAAGCCCCUGACUGUCUGAUCGCCCGCCUGUUACCUGACCCCCUUGCUUGUCUGACUACCCGCCUGCCUACCAAUAAACCCCGUUUCCCUUUACCCCGUCUCUGUCUGUGUUCUGCACUUGGGUCCCCUCC